GACGAACGCUGGCGGCGUGCUUAACACAUGCAAGUCGAACGGAAAGGCCCUGCUUUUGUGGGGUGCUCGAGUGGCGAACGGGUGAGUAACACGUGAGUAACCUGCCCUUGACUUUGGGAUAACUUCAGGAAACUGGGGCUAAUACCGGAUAGGAGCUCCUGCUGCAUGGUGGGGGUUGGAAAGUUUCGGCGGUUGGGGAUGGACUCGCGGCUUAUCAGCUUGUUGGUGGGGUAGUGGCUUACCAAGGCUUUGACGGGUAGCCGGCCUGAGAGGGUGACCGGCCACAUUGGGACUGAGAUACGGCCCAGAGUCCAACGGGAGGCAGCAGUGGGGAAUAUUGCACAAUGGGCGGAAGCCUGAUGCAGCAACGCCGCGUGCGGGAUGACGGCCUUCGGGUUGUAAACCGCUUUCGCCUGUGACGAAGCGUGAGUGACGGUAAUGGGUAAAGAAGCACCGGCUAACUACGUG
rnacentral:rRNA from 1 species